rnacentral:rRNA from 1 species
GAUGAACGCUGGCGGCGUGCCUAAUACAUGCAAGUCGAGCGAACAGACGAGGAGCUUGCUCCUUUGACGUUAGCGGCGGACGGGUGAGUAACACGUGGGUAACCUACCUAUAAGACUGGGAUAACUUCGGGAAACCGGAGCUAAUACCGGAUAAUAUUUCGAACCGCAUGGUUCGAUAGUGAAAGAUGGCUUUGCUAUCACUUAUAGAUGGACCUGCGCCGUAUUAGCUAGUUGGUAAGGUAACGGCUUACCAAGGCAACGAUACGUAGCCGACCUGAGAGGGUGAUCGGCCACACUGGAACUGAGACACGGUCCAGACUCCUACGGGAGGCAGCAGUAGGGAAUCUACCGAAUGGGCGAAAGCCUGACGGAGCAACGCCGCGUGAGUGAUGAAGGUCUUCGGAUCGUAAAACUCUGUUAUUAGGGAAGAACAAACGUGUAAGUAACUGUGCACGUCUUGACGGUACCUAAUCAGAAAGCCACGGCUAACUACGUG